GCCCCCCAAUUUAAAAAGCAAACAAAUUUUUUAAAAAUCCACGAUCCCUCUCCCUUUUGUUUGUACUUAAAAGAGGGAAAUGGGGAAAGAAAUCCAAGUGCGUCCCGACUGAUGGGGCAAUUAGUGCGGUUCGGAGAGCGGGCACGAACCUGCCGCACCGUCUGAGGGUCGGGUCUGGGUCCCGCAGUGGCCGGGACGAGGGGCUGGGCGGGGCUGGCAGCUUGCAGGUCCAAGAACACUCGCCCGCUCGAGACAGGUCUCUCUGGGAGCCGCUGGGCACCAAAGGUUAGGGGGCUGCGGGAGGGUCCCGGCACCGGCCCCCGCGCCUGCCACUUCCGCAGGCACCUGGCACUCCCGCGCUGCGCCUGUGAGGCCCGGGCUGAACGCGCCGAGCUGCCUGCCGGGUUGGGGAAUCCGCGGCCGCCGCCUCUAAUCCGCCCUUAAGUAGUCUCCGCCUGCGUCACGCCAGGUCGGCGGAGGGGAGCCGAGCGCCGCGUGCGGCUGUCGCUGCGCGUCGGAGCCCGAGGGGCCGGGGACGCGCGCGGGGGGGAGAGGGGCAGGAGUCCCGGGGCCCGGCGGGGAGUGGGGCGACUUCGAGAGGAAGCGCUGCAGCGCCCCUUAGGGCUCCUCGGGGCGCCCAGGUAACCUCACCUGACCGCCACCCCCCUGCAGGAGGAGGGGAAACCCGGAGCAGACGCGUGGUCAUGCUUCAUGUCUGUAGGAGCUUCUGGUCAUUCUGCUCCUGUGGGGAUGCACACUACUGGAGGCUUUGAAGCAACAUAAAAGUCCUUCCAUUUGUGCUAAAUACCAAACUCUAAACCCUGAGCUCCUGAAACAGAAAAUGUGCUUGGAUCCCACUGUGUCCCCUGCCUCUAUUGUCUUGGGAAUAUGCAUAUGGCAUCACUUGUUUACUCCCUCUGUAUAUUGAUUCCAUUAUCAAAAGGUAAAGUACAAUAAAUUCAUUUAAGCACUCA
rnacentral:lncRNA from 1 species